UGAGGAAUAUUGGUCAAUGGGCGCGAGCCUGAACCAGCCAAGUAGCGUGAAGGAUGAAGGUCCUACGGAUUGUAAACUUCUUUUAUAAGGGAAUAAAGUCACCCACGUGUGGGUGUUUGUAUGUACCUUAUGAAUAAGCAUCGGCUAACUCCGUGCCAGCAGCCGCGGUAAUACGGAGGAUGCGAGCGUUAUCCGGAUUUAUUGGGUUUAAAGGGAGCGUAGACGGGCCGUUAAGUCAGCUGUGAAAGUUUGAGGCUCAACCUUAAAAUUGCAGUUGAUACUGGCGUCCUUGAGUACGGUUGAGGCAGGCGGAAUUCGUGGUGUAGCGGUGAAAUGCUUAGAUAUCACGAAGAACCCCGAUUGCGAAGGCAGCCUGCUAAACCGCCACUGACGUUGAGGCUCGAAAGUGUGGGUAUCAAACAGGAUUAGAUACCCUGGUAGUCCACACGGUAAACGAUGGAUACUCGCUGUUGGCGAUGGACUGUCAGCGGCUUAGCGAAAGCGUUAAGUAUCCCACCUGGGGAGUACGCCGGCAACGGUGAAACUCAAAGGAAUUGACGGGGGCCCGCACAAGCGGAGGAACAUGUGGUUUAAUUCGAUGAUACGCGAGGAACCUUACCCGGGCUUGAAUUGCAGACGAAUUGCUUGGAAACAGGCAAGCCGCAAGGCGUCUGUGAAGGUGCUGCAUGGUUGUCGUCAGCUCGUGCCGUGAGGUGUCGGCUUAAGUGCCAUAACGAGCGCAACCCUCGUGUCCAGUUACUAGCAGGUUAUGCUGAGGACUCUGGACAGACUGCCAUCGUAAGAUGUGAGGAAGGUGGGGAUGACGUCAAAUCAGCACGGCCCUUACGUCCGGGGCUACACACGUGUUACAAUGGGGGGUACAGCAGGCAGCUACCGGGCGACCGGAUGCCAAUCCCGAAAGCCUCUCUCAGUUCGGACUGGAGUCUGCGACCCGACUCCACGAAGCUGGAUUCGCUAGUAAUCGCGCAUCAGCCACGGCGCGGUGAAUACGUUCCC
rnacentral:rRNA from 1 species